UACGUAGGGGGCUAGCGUUGUUCGGAAUUACUGGGCGUAAAGCGCACGUAGGCGGAUUGUUAAGUCGGCGGUGAAAUCCUGGAGCUCAACUCCAGAACUGCCUUCGAUACUGGCGAUCUCGAGUCCGGGAGAGGUGAGUGGAACUGCGAGUGUAGAGGUGAAAUUCGUAGAUAUUCGCAAGAACACCAGUGGCGAAGGCGGCUCACUGGCCCGGUACUGACGCUGAGGUGCGAAAGCGUGGGGAGCAAACAGG
rnacentral:rRNA from 1 species